rnacentral:lncRNA from 1 species
GAGGAAGAACAUGUCGUUCUUGAAGAUCUUCAUCUCGAUUACGUCGUCUUGAAGGUUGUGACAAUCGUAAUGUCUCAUCCGACAAGUCAGCAAACGAAGGUUCUUGAGUUGAAUCCGCUGGUUGUUGGCUCUCCAUCUAAUUAGCGUCACAAAUGCAAAGAAGUUACAAACAAGGAUAGGAAAUUGAAUGUUAUCUUGCCUCAAUCUUUUCUCUUUUAUAAGAGAGGUUUUCAUCUUGGUUUUGAUG